CGCCAGACUCCUAUGGGAGGCAGCAGUGGGGGAUAUUGCACAAUGGGGGGAACCCUGAUGCAGCGACGCCGCGUGGGUGAAGAAGUAUUUCGGUAUGUAAAGCCCUAUCGGCAGGGAAGAAUUUAGACGGUACCUGACUAAGAAGCCCCGGCUAACUACGUGCCAGCAGCCGCGGGAAUACGUAGGGGGCAAGCGUUAUCCGGAUUUACUGGGUGUAAAGGGAGCGUAGACGGCAUGGCAAGUCUGAUGUGAACACCCGGGGCUCAACCCCGGGACUGCAUUGGAAACUGUCAGGCUAGAGUGUCGGAGAGGCAAGUGGAAUUCCUAGUGUAGCGGUGAAAUGCGUAGAUAUUAGGAGGAACACCAGUGGCGAAGGCGGCUUGCUGGACGAUGACUGACGUUGAGGCUCGAAAGCGUGGGGAGCAAACAGGAUUAGAUACCCCGGUAA
rnacentral:rRNA from 1 species